AACGUAGGUUCCGAGCGUUAUCCGGAUUUACUGGGCGUAAAGCGCGUUCAGGCGGUUUGGCAAGUCGGGAAUGAAAUCUCUCGGCUCAACCGGGAGAGGUUGUCCGAUACUGCUGGACUUGAGGGCAGUAGAGGGUGGUGGAAUUCCGGGUGUAGUGGUGAAAUGCGUAGAGAUUGGAAGGAACACCAGUGGCGAAGGCGGCUACCUGGCCUAAUACUGACACUGAGGCACGAAAGCGUGGGGAGCAAACAGG
rnacentral:rRNA from 1 species